rnacentral:tRNA from 1 species
UGGCCCGUGGGGUAAUGGUAGCCCGAGUGAUUCUGGAUCACUUAGUCUUGGUUCGAAUCCAGGCGGGCCAGCCA